UUGUAGUGCUGUAAUGUGCAAAUUAGCGGACUUUAUAGCGGCUCUCUAUUUUCCGUCGUUGUCUUUCGAGCAGCGCCUGUUGUUCCGUUAAAAAUCGAGUUGAAUGAAUCGCCACAGCCCCAACGUAUAUCGCGCAGUGUUGACCAAGUCCAGCAGGAAUUCUGGCAUGGUAUGUGGCUGCACGGAGGAUUCCGAAAAAGAAAAACAACAACAUGGCUAAUAGGAUGUUGCUGCCCAGGGAGCCCUGGCCGAAGAGGUUUACUCAUUCCAGAAGCAGGAAUUGUACAAUUGUAAGGCGAAUGGAAAUAAACUGACAUCGACUGA